rnacentral:rRNA from 1 species
CCUACGGGGGGCAGCAGUGGGGAAUAUUGGACAAUGGGCGAAAGUCUGAUCCAGCCAUGCCGCGUGUGUGAAGAAGGCCUUCGGGUUGUAAAGCACUUUCAGUGGGGAAGAAAGCCUUGGGGCUAAUACCCUCGAGGAAGGACAUCACCCACAGAAGAAGCACCGGCUAACUCCGUGCCAGCAGCCGCGGUAAUACGGAGGGUGCGAGCGUUAAUCGGAAUUACUGGGCGUAAAGCGCGCGUAGGCGGUCUGAUAAGCCGGUUGUGAAAGCCCCGGGCUCAACCUGGGAACGGCAUCCGGAACUGUCAGGCUAGAGUGCAGGAGAGGAAGGUAGAAUUCCCGGUGUAGCGGUGAAAUGCGUAGAGAUCGGGAGGAAUACCAGUGGCGAAGGCGGCCUUCUGGACUGACACUGACGCUGAGGUGCGAAAGCGUGGGUAGCAAACAGGAUUAGAUACCCCAGUAGUC